UACGUAGGUGGCAAGCGUUGUUCGGAAUUAUUGGGCGUAAAGGGCGCGUAGGCGGUUUGUUAAGUCGGUCGUGAAAGCCCGGGGCUCAACCCCGGAGGGUCGACCGAUACUGGCAGACUAGAGUACAGAAGAGGUAACUGGAAUUCCCGGUGUAGCGGUGAAAUGCGCAGAGUAGUACAGGCAAGAACACCAACGGCGAAGGCAGCUCGCUGGGACGGUACUGACGACUG
rnacentral:rRNA from 1 species